GACGAACGCUGGCGGCGUGCCUAAUACAUGCAAGUCGAACGCUGAAGGAGGAGCUUGCUCUUCUGGAUGAGCUGCGAACGGGUGAGUAACGCGUAGGUAACCUGCCUGGUAGCGGGGGAUAACUAUUGGAAACGAUAGCUAAUACCGCAUAAAAUUGAUUAUUGCAUGAUAGUCAAUUAAAAGGUGCAAUUGCAUCACUACCAGAUGGACCUGCGUUGUAUUAGCUAGUUGGUGAGGUAACGGCUCACCAAGGCAACGAUACAUAGCCGACCUGAGAGGGGGAUCGGCCACACUGGGACUGAGACACGGCCCAGACUCCUACGGGAGGCAGCAGUAGGGAAUCUUCGGCAAUGGACGGAAGUCUGACCGAGCAACGCCGCGUGAGUGAAGAAGGUUUUCGGAUCGUAAAGCUCUGUUGUAAGAGAAGAACGAGUGUGAGAGUGGAAAGUUCACACUGUGACGGUAUCUUACCAGAAAGGGACGGCUAACUACGUG
rnacentral:rRNA from 1 species